rnacentral:rRNA from 1 species
GAUGAACGCUAGCGGGAGGCCUAACACAUGCAAGCCGAGCGGUAUUUGUUCUUCGGAACAGAGAGAGCGGCGCACGGGUGCGGAACACGUGUGCAACCUGCCUUUAUCUGGGGGAUAGCCUUUCGAAAGGAAGAUUAAUACCCCAUAAUAUAUUGAGUGGCAUCAUUUGAUAUUGAAAACUCCGGUGGAUAGAGAUGGGCACGCGCAAGAUUAGAUAGUUGGUGAGGUAACGGCUCACCAAGUCAAUGAUCUUUAGGAGGCCUGAGAGGGUGAUCCCCCACACUGGUACUGAGACACGGACCAGACUCCUACGGGAGGCAGCAGUGAGGAAUAUUGGACAAUGGGUUAGCGCCUGAUCCAGCCAUCCCGCGUGAAGGACGACGGCCCUAUGGGUUGUAAACUUCUUUUGUAUAGGGAUAAACCUACUCUCGUGAGAGUAGCUGAAGGUACUAUACGAAUAAGCACCGGCUAACUCCGUG